GAUUCCGGAGAGGGAGCCUGAGAAACGGCUACCACAUCCAAGGAAGGCAGCAGGCGCGCAACUUACCCAAUCCGGAACACCGGAAGGUAUAGUGACAAGAAAUAUCAAUGAGAGGGCCCGAUGGGUUUUCUAAAUUGGAAUUGAGAACAAGGUAAACAGCUUAUCGAGGAGCCAGCAGAGGGCAAGUCUGGUGCCAGCAGCCGCGGUAAUUCCAGCUCUGUAAGCGUAUACCAAAAGUUGUUGCAGUUUAAAACGCUCGUAGUCGAUUUUUGGCGUGUGACUUGGGUCGUUCUUCGCGGGCGCUCCCCAGGUUGUGCGCCUUUGUGGAGGGGGGUCUGGUGGUGCUUAAUUGGAUCGCCAGGCUGCCGCCACCGUUUACUGUGAAAAAAUUAGAGUGUUCAAAGCAGGCGAUUGCCCUGAAUACAUUAGCAUGGAAUAAUAGAAUAGGACCCGGUCCUAUUUUGUUGGUUUGUUUGAAUCGGGUAAUGAUUAAAAGGGAACGGUUGGGGGCAUUCGUAUUCCGACGCUAGAGGUGAAAUUCUUGGAUUGUCGGAAGACGAACAGCUGCGAAAGCGUCUGCCAAGGACGUUUUCAUUGAUCAAGAACGAAAGUAAGGGGAUCGAAGACGAUCAGAUACCGUCGUAGUCUUUACUAUAAACGAUGAGGACUGGAGAUCGGAUAAGACUGAUUUAUGGCUUAUCCGGCAUCCUUCGAGAAAUCAAAGUGUUUUGCUUUCUGGGGGGAGUAUGGUCGCAAGGCUGAAACUUAAAGGAAUUGACGGAAGGGCAUCACCGGGUGUGGAGCCUGCGGCUUAAUUUGACUCAACACGGGAAAACUUACCAGGUCAGGACAUAGUAAGGAUUGACAGAUUGAGAGCUCUUUCUUGAUUCUAUGGUUGGUGGUGCAUGGCCGUUCUUAGUUGGUGGAGUGAUCUGUCUGGUUAAUUCCGUUAACGAGCGAGACCUGGGCGUGCUAGCUAGGCGCCGUUACCUUUGGUAGCGAGGCAAAGCCUUCCUAGACGGACUGUGGGCGUCUAGCCCACGGAAGCUCCAGGCAAUAACAGGUCUGAGAUGCCCUUAGAUGUCCUGGGCCGCACGCGUGCUACACUGAACGGGUCAACGAGUGACGGAUAUGCGAGAGCAUUUCCGAAUCUCCAAAUCCGUUCGUGAUGGGGAUCGACGGUUGCAAUUUUCCGUCGUCAACGAGGAAUACCUUGUAAGCGCGGGUCAUCAUCCCGCGCUGAAUACGUCCCUGCCCUUUGUACACACCGCCCGUCGCUCCUACCGAUUGAGUGGUCCGGUGAGGCCUUGGGAGAGCUAGAUGAACUGUUUUACUCAGAUCUUUUGGCUUCAACUUGGUCAAACCUUAUCACUUAGAGGAAGGAGAAGUCGUAACAAGGUUUCCGUAGGUGAACCUGCGGAAGGAUCAUUC
rnacentral:rRNA from 1 species